AUUGAACGCUGGCGGCAGGCCUAACACAUGCAAGUCGAAUGGUAACAGGAAACAGCUUGCUGUUUCGCUGACGAGUGGCGGACGGGUGAGUAAUGUCUGGGACACUGCCUGAUGGAGGGGGAUAACUACUGGAAACGGUAGCUAAUACCGCAUAACGUCGCAAGACCAAAGAGGGGGACCUUCGGGCCUCUUGCCAUCAGAUGUGCCCAGAUGGGAUUAGCUAGUAGGUGGGGUAACGGCUCACCUAGGCGACGAUCCCUAGCUGGUCUGAGAGGAUGACCAGCCACACUGGAACUGAGACACGGUCCAGACUCCUACGGGAGGCAGCAGUGGGGAAUAUUGCACAAUGGGCGCAAGCCUGAUGCAGCCAUGCCGCGUGUAUGAAGAAGGCCUUCGGGUUGUAAAGUACUUUCAGCGGGGAGGAAGGGAGUAAAGUUAAUACCUUUGCUCAUUGACGUUACCCGCAGAAGAAGCACCGGCUAACUCCGUG
rnacentral:rRNA from 1 species